CAGGAUGCUCUCGAUUGUGCAUCUGUAGAAGUUUGUGAGUGCUUUUGGUGACAAGCCGAAUUUCUUCAGCCUCCUGAGGUUGAAGAGGCGCUGCUGCGCCUUCUUCACGAUGCUGUCUGUAGUUGCCAGGUUUGCUCCAGGAGGUGAAAAACCUAAAGAGGGAGCGAAUGAGACACACAACUUCAAAGGGUGUCAGUGUUUGGUUUAAGCAUGAUGACCAUAAUAUGAGGAGUAGAGAUUGAGAGUAGGAAAGAUGAUGAGAAGUUGGAAGGUGUACCGGCUGUUUGAAGAAGAAGACCAAGGUGCAGCGUGAAAAAAAAUUGAAUGCAUUCUGGGACCAGGAGGCAAAGAAACCGCUGUGCCCAACCAAAGUGUCUGCCAUUUGCACGUUUUUUUAUUAUGCGAAACCAGAUGGAGAAGAAGGAAGUCUUAGAAAUAAUUAUAUCGAAGCGUAACAAUGAGUCGAAAUUGCUUAAGAAGUCCAAGAUUUAGGUUUAAACUAGUAACUUGAAGGCUAAGGCGUAACUUUUUUAUUUGUUAACUCAGUGAAAAAGUAUUUAAAAAAUGUAAUAUGAUGUUCUCGUAUCUUAAUGUACACUGAACAAAAAAAUGUGGGUCUACUAUAGUUAUUGCUGUUGUAUCACUAUAAGAUUGCUAUAAUAUUACUGUAAGAUAUACCAUUUGUACAGUUGAAGUUGGAAAAUUACAUACACUUAGGUUGGAGUCAUUAAAACUCAUUUUUCAACCACUCCAAAAAUGUCUUGUUAACCAAACUAUAGUUUUGGGAAGUCGGUUAGGACAUCUACUUUGUGCAUGACACCAGAAAUGUUCCCAACAAUUGUUUACAGACAGAUUAUUUCAUUUAUAAUUUACUGUAUCACAAUUCCAGUGGGUCAGAAGUUUACAUACACUAAGUUGACUGUGCCUUUAAACAGCUUGGAAAAUUCCAGAAAAUGGUGUCAUGGCUUUAGAAGCUUCUGAUAGGCUAAUUGACAUCACUUGGGUCAAUUGGAGGUGUACCUGUGGAUGUAUUUCAAGGCCUACCUUCAAACUUAGUGCCUCUUUAACAUCAUGGGAAAAUCAAAAGAAAUCAGCCAAGACCUCAGAAAAAAUAUUGGUUCAUCCUUGAGAGCAAUUUCCAAAUGCCUGAAGGUACCACGUUCAUCUGUACAAACAAUAGUACACAAGUAUAAACACCAUGGCACCACGCAGCCAUCAUACCGCUCAGGAAGGAGACGCGUUCUGUCUCCUAGAGAUGAACGUACUUUGGUGCGAAAAGUGCAAAUCAAUCCCAGAACAACAGCAAAGGAUCUUGUGAAGAUGCUGGAGGAAAUGGGUACAACAGUAUCUAUAUCCACAGUAAAACGAGUCCUAUAGCGACAUAACUUGAAAGGUCGCUCAGCAAGGAAGAAGACACUAUUCCAAAACUGUCAUAAAAAAGCCUGGGGCGGCAGGGUAGCCUAGUGGUUAGAGCGUUAGACUUUUAACCGAAAGGUUGAAAGUUCAAAUACCCAAGCUGACAAGGUACAAAUCUGUCGUUCUGCCCCUGAACAGGUAGUUAUCCCACUGUUCCUAGGCUGUCAUUGAAAAUAAGAAUUUGUUCUUGACUGACUUGCCUAGUUAAAUAAAUUGGGACAAAGAUUGUAUUUCUUGGAGAAAUGUCCUCUGGUCUGAUGAAACAAAAAUAUAACUGUUUGGCCAUAAUGACCAUCGUUAUGUUUGGAGGAAAAAGGGGGAUGCUUGCAAGCCAAAGAACACCAUCCCAACCGUGAAGCACGAGGGUGGAAGCAUCAUGUUGUGGGUGUGCUUUGUUACAGGAGGGACUGGUGCACUUCACAAAAUUAUAUGGCAUUAUGAAGAAGGAAAAUUAUGUGGAUAUAUUAAAGCAACAUCUCAAGACAUCAGUCGGGAAAUUAAAGCUUGGUCGCAAAUGGGUCUUCCAAAUGGACAAUGACUCUAAGCAUACUUACAAAUUUGUGGCAAAAUGGCUUAAGGACAACAAAGUCAAUGUAUUGGAGUGGCCAUCACAAAGCCCUGACCUCAAUCCCAUAGAAAAUUUGUGGGCAGAACUGAAAAAGCGUGUGCGAGCAAGGAGGCCUACAAACCUGACUCGGUUACACCAGCUCUGUCAAGAGGGAUGGGACUAAAUUCACCCAACUUAUUGUGGGAAGCUUUUGGAAGGCUACCCGAAACGUUUGACCCAAGUUAAACAAUUUAAAGGCAAUGCUACCAAAUACUAAUUGAGUAUGUAAACUUCUGACCCACUGGGAAUGUGAUGAAAGAAAUAAAAGCUGAAAUAAAUCAUUCUCUCUACUAUUAUUCUGACAUUUCAUAUUCUUAAAAUAAAGUGGUGAUCCUAACUGACCUAAAAUUGAAUUUUUACUAGGAUUAAAUGUCAGGAAUUGUGAAAAACUGAGUUUAAUUUGGCUAGGGUGUAUGUAAACUUCUGACUUCAACUGUAUGUCUUUUUUGUUGUUGUUGCCUGUUUGCCUUUUAUUUUGGCAUUAAUAUGUGUCACAUAUUAGUUUGCAAACAAUGUAAACAAAUAAUAAUAAUUGAUUUAAUAAAGCUGCAUACAAACAUGUU